CUGUGUUGCUUUUGCUUUUCAGUAAUUGGGAGUUGUCGUAACGCUCGCCGCUAACGGAGCAUUGCGGUUUUCUAUGUUUAUAAGUUUAUUAUUUUCUAUUAGGUGCUGAUAGGUAAAAUCUAACCACCGAACAGUUUUGACUUAGUUAUGAUUCUGUUUUGUCACCAUUACCACGUAGCCAUGUAAAUAAGAAGGAAGGGGUAAGGAUUACAAACGAAAAUGCAAAAAAGGAUGUUAAUUUGUAUGCAUGUAUGUGAAUAAGUUAAAAAAAAAACAAUGAAGAAUUUAUAAAGUACACCAUACAUAAAAUGUGCGUGGAACUGGAGACCAGUAUAUAAACGUGUUAAGACAAACUCUGCAUUGCACAAUGUGUCAAUUUUGGGUGGAACGGAUUAGAUGUCGCUGUUGCGGUCAACUUAGAAAGUACGGAUCAAAAGGUGAAGGUCAAAAAAUAGUGUAUAUUUAGUUUCUGCCAUUGACAAUAUAGUUUGAAAUAUAUAAUUAUGUAAACAUUUGGUUAUGGGAAAUAUUCUAUACAAUAUGGACUAGACACUAAUUAUAAAAAUAGCUAAACUAUAUUAAAAAAUGUAUUAAAGCGAGUCAAUUAUCUUCCAUUAAAUUAGUAAUAUUGUAUGCAGUUAUUUGUCCAAUAAUGCAGUUCAUAUGACAUGGCCUUAUCUUCAAUAAAUAUGUAUGUAUAUACAGAUAUGUGAACAUACUAUAUACAAGUA